rnacentral:rRNA from 1 species
GACGAACGCUGGCGGCGUGCUUAACACAUGCAAGUCGAACGGAGUGGCGGACGGGUGAGUAAUGCGUGAUCAACCUGCCCUUCAGAGGGGGACAACAGUUGGAAACGACUGCUAAUACCGCAUACGGAAGGAGGUGAUGGCGUGUGAUUGGCUAGUUGGAGGGGUAACGGCCCAACAAGGCGAUGAUAAGUAGGCGGUCCGGGAGGAUGGACGGCCACAUGGGGACUGAGACACGGCCCAGAAUUCUACGGGAGGCAGCAGUGGGGAAACUUCCGCAAUGGAGGAAAGGCUGACGGAGCAACGCCGCGUGAGUGAUGACGGCCUUCGGGUUGUAAAGCUAUGUUAAUCGGGACGCGUUACCGGAAUAGAAAGCCACGGCUAACUACGUGCCAGCAGCCGCGGUAAUAC